rnacentral:misc_RNA from 1 species
UCUCCGUUGGUGAACCAGCGGAGGGAUCAUUAUAGAGUUUUAUAACUCCCAAACCCCUGUGAACAUACCACUUGUUGCCUCGGCGGAUCAGCCCGCUCCCGGUAAAACGGGACGGCCCGCCAGAGGACCCCUAAACUCUGUUUCUAUAUGUAACUUCUGAGUAAAACCAUAAAUAAAUCAAAACUUUCAACAACGGAUCUCUUGGUUCUGGCAUCGAUGAAGAACGCAGC